CCACAGACCCAAGUCAAAUGCUGAGGCGCGUAACAGUGGAAGUUCGCAGGUAUGAGCGCGCGUUUCGGUCUUCGCUCUGAGCUUUGAAAUACUUCUCGACUUCAACGCGCUAUGCCUUCCGAUAUUUUGGUUGGAGAGGGAGAAGGACAGGAUGGAGAACAAGGCGACUGAUGUCUGUAUGGACUGAAGACAAGAGCGCGCUAUGGAGAUGACCGCUCGCCUCGCGCACUUGGACACCAAGUUGGAUGGCAGAAACUGUGAUGGACUUGUCAACCAUAACGGGGAAACGACUGAGAUAAGACUACCGCUGUCUCACACGGGGAAGAGACUCGGUCCGAUCGAGGGGGGAAAUCUUUACAGACUGCGUGACAGAAAGUUCCUUCUGGAGGACAAGAAGCGCCUCUGCGCGUGGGCACUGGGAGCCGCGCUGUUAGGCAUUCUGCUGAUGAUAUUACAUGCUGAGCUGUGCCCACUAGUGUAUCAACCAGAAUCCAUUUAUGCCCUCUCCAUAAAUGGUCUCAUCAGUUUCUCCACGGGUUGUUUGCUCAUUCUCAUCAUCGCCUUCCAUUAUAAAGACAUCAGACUUUUUAUCAUUGACCACAACCAGGUGGACUGGCGCAUUGCCAUGACCAGUAACCGGGUGCUUGGCAUCUCCCUGGAGCUCGUUGUCUGUGCUAUCCAUCCCGUGGCUAUCUACCUGAGGCCAGAUAUGGGGGACAGACUGGGGGGGGAGCCAGAGCAAAAUUCCUCUACCCCCCUCUGCUUGUCCUCGAGUCACAAAGAAGUCAUGCUGGAUGUGGAGCUGCUGCUGUCGGCCCUCAUGUUCCUGAGACUGUAUCUCGUGCACAGAGCCGUCCUGUUACAUAGCAAGGUGCUGCUCAGCGCCUCGUACAGGAGCAUCGGCUCCCUCAACAACAUCAACUUCAGCUUCCGCUUUGUGCUCAAGGUGCUAAUGAACAAGUAUCCGGCCCGCACGCUGCUGGUCUUUAUUAUGUUUUUCUGGCUCUCCGCAGCUUGGAUGCUGCGACUGUGUGAAAGGCAGCAACAGGUAGAGACAGGUGGCAUGGACACAGCAUUGUGGCUGAUAGCCAUCACCUUCCUCACAGUGGGAUAUGGAGAUGUGUACCCUCGCACCAGCUGUGGCAAGUUGGUGUGUCUCUUCACAGGUGUCAUGGGUGUGGCAUGUACUGCUAUGUUGGUAGCAGUCAUGACUAAGAAACUGGCGCUUAACAAAGGGGAGAAACAUGUGCAUUUCUUCAUGAUGGACAUUCAGAUCUCCAAGCGGAUGGAGAGCAUACAUAAAAUUGAUAAGAUGAUGGAGAUUGCCAGGAGCUGGGGACAGGUGAGUAUAGAAGGUUUGGAGUGAAAAGAUUGAGGGAGACACUAGAAGACACGAGGGAGACAAAACAAAUCUCUGAAUGAGGUAAGUAGAAGAUCGCGGGUAAGACGAACAUACAUUUUGAGUCCUUAAUCCACAAUGGAGACCAAACAAUGAGGCAGUAAGGAGUGUGUGCUUUUAUAGUGCUGGCUGAGUGAUGAGAUCAUCUGUGACAGACUGAUUAGAAUUCUGGUGAUUGAGUGCGCUAUGUGAUGGGUGAGCCUGGUGUGGCCAUGACAGAACCCCCCUUUCCAUGGCCCGCUCCUGAGGGCCUCAACGUCAUGGUGGAUGACCUUGACUAUGUGAUGCAUGGAACUCAGCUAGAAGAUUGGGGUCUAAGAUGUCAUGCCUGGGGACCCAAGAUCUAUCCUCUGGACCAUUGCUUUCCCAAUCAACAAGGUGUUCCAGCCAACAACUACAGCACCGGGAGUUCAAGAUCUCCUUGACUGCACAAACCAUUCCAUCCUCUAGUACAGGGGUGGCAGUCCUGACGACUUUUGCUUGAAGCCUAAUCAAACAGACCUGGACAAGCUAAUCAAGGCCUGAAGGGUUGAAGUCUGCUGGACUGUGGCUCUCCAGGACCGGAGUAGCUAUCCUGGCUCUAGUACUAUUCGAAGAGGGGGAUCAACCAUGGGAACAGGCUCUGUGGGAACAGGAGAAACAGAGCUGGAGAACACACAAAGAAUUAAUGAAAUUAUGGAGAUUACCAGGAUCUGGGGACAGGUGAGUAUAGCAGGAUUCGAGUUAGGAGAUAGAGGGAGACACUGGAGAAGACAAGGGAGAAAAAAAAAAGAUCUUGUAAGGAGGUACGAAUGAGAUCAUGGGUAAGCAGAGCAUACAUUUUGAGUCCUUGAUCCACAAGGGAGGCAAGAAAAUUAGGCUGUGAGGAGUGUGUGCUUUUAUAGUGCUGGCUGAGGGAUGAGAUGAUCCUUACUGUGACUGAUUAGAAUGCUGGUGAUUAUAAUCUGUAUAUGAUCUGUGGGAAGCUGACACAAAUACUUUUGAAGAGUAGAAUAAAAAAAUCAAUUAAAAAAAUCAAAUUUUAAAUGUGUGUUAUUUUAAUUAUUAUUUAAUUUAUGUAUUUAAACAAUAUUUAAUUUUUUAUAAAACUAUAAUAUAUUAUUUAAU